GGGUAGUUACCGAAGUGGCAAACGGGAUAGACUGUAAAUCUAUUGGCUUUCGUCUUCAUUGGUUCGAGUCCAAUACUGCCCACUA
rnacentral:tRNA from 28 species